rnacentral:sRNA from 1 species
CAAUAUGUUCACUUGUUAAUGCUGAAAAAUCUUGUGAU